GAUGAACGCUGGCGGCGUGCCUAAUACAUGCAAGUCGAGCGAACAGGCGAGGAGCUUGCUCCUCUGACGUUAGCGGCGGACGGGUGAGUAACACGUGGAUAACCUACCUAUAAGACUGGGAUAACUUCGGGAAACCGGAGCUAAUACCGGAUAAUAUAUUGAACCGCAUGGUUCAAUAGUGAAAGACGGUUUUGCUGUCACUUAAAGAUGGAUCCGCGCCGCAUUAGCUAGUUGGUAAGGUAACGGCUUACCAAGGCAACGAUGCGUAGCCGACCUGAGAGGGUGAUCGGCCACACUGGAACUGAGACACGGUCCAGACUCCUACGGGAGGCAGCAGUAGGGAAUCUUCCGCAAUGGGCGAAAGCCUGACGGAGCAACGCCGCGUGAGUGAUGAAGGUCUUCGGAUCGUAAAACUCUGUUAUUAGGGAAGAACAAAUGUGUAAGUAACUAUGCACGUCUUGACGGUACCUAAUCAGAAAGCCACGGCUAACUACGU
rnacentral:rRNA from 1 species